UUUUUUUUUUUUUUUCCUUGAUAAAGACAAACUUUUGGGAAUGUCUUCAUGUGCCACAGGUAGAUAAUGCCAUAUUUAUGACUUUUCUACAGAAAGAAAACCACUUGGUGUCUGCCCCUAGGCUGUGUAUAUUCUAUGGUUAGGAGACAAUCAAAUGCUAAUGUAAGAAAAUUAUUAAGGUCUUUUUUUUUUUUUGUCUUUUUGGGGCUGCACCUGUGGCAUACAGAAGUUCCCAGACUAGGGGUCAAAUUGAAGCAGCAGCUGCUGGCCUAUACUGCAGCCACAGCAAUGCUGGAUCCAAGUCAUAUCACUGACCUACGCCAUAGCUUGUGACAAUGCUGGCCCCACUGAGUGGGGCCAGGGAUUGAACCUGCAUCUUCAUGGAUACUAUUUGAGUUCUUAACUCACUGAUCCACAAUGAGAACUCCAAUCAAUUUUUUAAAUGUCGAAGGAAGAAGAAAUUUUCAUGUUGUACCUCUGCUGAACCGCAAAAGUGAUAUUACGAAAUUAUGAAAAGUGAUUCUAAUUCAUUAUUAUUGUUAUUAUUAUUAUUAUUAUUAUUAUUAUUACCACCCUUCCAGCUGUAACCUGCCAUAUGAUUCCUAGGUACUCAUAUAACUAUUUUCACACACAGUUGCAUAAUAUAUACGCCUACCCCUUUGAGUUUACAUGACACCUUUGAGUUGUAUGCACAACUACAUAAAACAAAUUUUGCUCCAUCCAUCCCAUGCUUGUAGAAUAUCUUAUAUCAAAAAAACCCAAACCUAAAACUAUGCUCUCAUGAAUACAUAAUCAGAUUCAAAUAAUACAGAAUUAUAAUAUUUAAAAAAUAAUACAUAGAAACCAUAUGCAUUUCAAAUAAUUAGUUUCAAAAUAUUAAUAUCAGUUAUUUACCUAAGGCAUUCCUUUAUGAAGGGGUAGUCUAUUUUGUUUUAACUAAAUUAGGUCUUUAUAGUACUUCACAAAGUUUGUACAUUAUAGAAUUUACUUGGGUGAAAUUAAAUUUUUAAACAGUAAUUCCCCAAUAAACUCUCAGGAGACAGAAUGAGAUUAGUAUGAAAUGGCCGAAACUCCAACUCAGUGUUGCAUAAUUCUUUUCACAUCAGUCUUGAAUUAUGUGAGCGAUUUCAUAGAUAGAUAGAUAGAUAGAUAGAGCGAUAGAUAGAUAGAGCGAUAGAGAGAGAGAGGAAGAUUAGCUGCAGAUAUUCAUAAGAAUCUCUUAAGAAGUUGAAGUCUUAUAUAUUCACAGCGAUCAAAUCCAAGAUCUUUUGUGAUAAAAUCAGUAUUCAAUGACAGUUUUCAUUACAAAGCAAGAAACAAUAGAAAAACAAUGCAGCUAGAUUCUAAAUAUUACUUACUAUUUUAAAAAUAUGAUAUCAUCUGUAUGUGGAACCUACCCCCAUUCACACCCCCUAAAAGGGAUACAAGUGAACUUAUUUACAAAAUAGGAAAAGACUCACAGACUUCAAAAACAAACUCAUGGUUACCAAAGGGGAAAGGUGGGGGGAGGGAUGGAUUGAGAGGUUGGCACUGGCACAUGCACACUGUGGUCUAUAGAAUGACUGGCCAAUGCGGACCUACUGUAUAGCACAGGGAACUCUACUCAUUCUGUGAUAACCUAUAUGGGAAAAGAAUUUGCAAAAGAAUGGAUGUGUAUAUGUAUAAUCAAAUCACCUUGUAUGGAAGAAAUUAUUCCAACAUUAUAAAGCAACUAUACUUCAAUAAAUUUUAAAAAUGAAAAAAAUGAAUAUAAGUUAUAUAGUUACAUAGUAUAUAUAAACUAUAUUUACUAUAUAGUUAUUCUAUGUACCACCCAUUAGAAUUCCAUCUCCAAGAUCUCAGGGUCCUCGUCUAGUUCACUUUUGAUCAAUUCCAUGUAAAAACACAGCUACAGUCAGGGUUUUCUUGUCCUAGUCACAAGCAUGGAAAUUCAAGUCUAUUACUCACUGGUCUCCUUCUUAAAUAUCUAUUUCCUCCAACUCAAUGCAAGUUGAGUGUUAAGGUUAAUGUCUCUUAACCACCCCACUUCCGACUUCAGGUUUUUGGCUUUUUUGCUUAUCUUUUCCUUUUUUAAACAUCCUUUUAAAGUUCCAUCUUAUAAGAAUAAAUCUAUCCUGUAAAAUGCAAGAACAGUUUCUUUGGAAAAUAUAAAUUGUUUCCAUUCAUUUCUGCACAUUGAUACAUCUUGGCCUGACUUUAUCUCCCUUAUGAGAAUUUACUUUUAAAAAGCAAGAAGACAAUAGCAAAUUCCAACAUUUUGAAUUUUUCCUAACAUUUGCCUCAGUGUUCUAGAUUUGUUUGCUAGUGGAUAUGGUAAAACUCACAAGUGUUUACCAAUAUUUGUGGUUUCUUUUCUUUCCAGUUUAUUUAAAAUGAUUGCAUAUCCCACUUCCAGAAGUUAAACAUAGUCAUGUGAGUCUCCAUUUUUAAUGGAAAUUAAGUGGGUUUGAUGUAAGUAACCUAUGGGUAAAAGAGCCAUUGAAUAAUGUUCACUUCUCCUUUCUUACAUUGAGAUGGAAUUACCUUCAAAUUUAUGUAGUAUGAAACGUGCAUAAAAGCUGCUUAGAACUUUGCUAAUGUAAUAAAUGUUUAUUGUGUUACAAAAAAACUGAUGAUCAUAAUGUUGUCAUCAUUUUAUUUUGCUACAGCAAGUGUAAAAAUAUAACCAUAAAAACAAAAAAAGAACAAUGUGACAGAGAAAAAUUACCAUUUUCUCUUUACUUGAGCUCUUAAAAAAAUAAAUUUGAAUAACAUAUUAUAGAAAGACCAUGAUCCUGAAAAAAAGACACUCUUUCAUAAAAAAGGUAAGUUUGUAAAAAUGCAAUACUUGUUAGUUCACAUAUACCUACAUGGUAUGGUUCUCCACAUAUACAUGUAAGUACAUAAGUAUAUAUAUUUCUCCCCCCUUCUAUAUCAGAAGUCAUGAAAUAGCAUUUUUCCAUUGAUUGGCAUUAAGGGAUAAUUAGAGAAAUGAACAGAUUUCAAGAUUUCACGUCAAAUAAGCUGUGUUUUCCUCGGCAAUUUUCCAUUUUUAUCUUCAACUUCUUUAAUGGGGGAAUUAUAAUAAUUGCCUCAACAUAUUUUGAGAGUUAAGUAGAAAAUAAGAACAGAGGGCACCUAAUUAAAUUUAAUUUUCAAACAAGAAACAAAUCUUAAGUAUAAGUACUUUUUCCCAUCAUUUUUUAACUGAAAUUCAAAUUUAACUAGGCUUCCUGUAUUCUACCUGGUGAACCUGGAGUGCCAAUACAGAGUGCCAAUUCAUGCCAAAAGGUUUUUCACCAGGACAUGAAACAUGAGUAUUCAGUUAAGAAGUGGGAUAUCUGGGCGUGACUAUCUGGGUGCAAAUCUCAACGUCUUGUCCAAAUAACCAGAUCUCAGUAAGUUUCGGUUUGCUUAUAUGUCAAAUGCCAUAAUAUCUGUACCUUCUUCAAAUGGUGACUGUUAAGUUGGAUUAACAAAAUAUGCCUUAGGGAGUUCCCUUCAUGGCUCAGCGGUUAACAAACGCAACUAGGAUCCAUGAGGAUGUGGGUUUGAUCCCUGGCCUCACUCAGUGAGUUAAGGAUCUGGCAUUGCCGUGAACUAUGGUGCAGACUGCAGAUGUGGCUGAGAUCCUGGGUUGCUGUGGCUGUGGUGUAGGCUACAGCUCUGAUUUUAUCCCUAGCCUAGGAACUUCCACAUGCUGCAAGUGUGGCCCU
rnacentral:lncRNA from 1 species